GAGAUAGAGUCACAUUACUUCUCCUUUUAAGAACGAAUGCAUGCACAUAAAGAGUUAUUCCGCCAAGUGUCUUAUUGCUAAGGAACUUUGCUAUGACUUCUGUGAUCACAACAAACAUCUGAUCUCAUGAAUUUUCAAAUGGAGCCUCUUCACUGAUGUUUCCUUCCUCAUACAUCAUUCAGUGACACAAGUGUCUGCGGCUGUCACGCUGGUAAUGCCAUAAACCACAGGACAAAUGAUAUCAUAAGAGGGAUACCUACAGCAACUUUCCAUGGACAGCAGAAUGACAACUGAAAUUACACAUAUCUGCUUUGUAUUCAAGACAUAAAUCAUAAAGAGUAGACCUAUGUCUAUUAUAUUUUUAAUUAUAUGUGACUCGUGCUGGCAAAAUGAGUCAGAGUGCAAUGUGCACGGGCUAAUUUCGAGCUACAGACAAAACAAGUGAAAAAUGUCAAUUUUGGUCGAAAUUUAGGUUUUCACAAAAAAUAAGUUCAUUAAGCCCUUGUCUAGCAAUCCCAAUGCUCCAAAUAGCAAUUAAACAUCUAAAAGUAUCUUUAUUUGUACGUUUUCUGAUAGAAAUACCUUUCCUUUGACCAUGAAAAAUGCAGUUUUUCUCUGCUCGCUUCUUGACGACUGGCGCUUCCUCUAAGCACAAGUUUGGUAUCAUUUUAAAGCACAGCAUUCCAACUUAAUAUUCAUAGCGAAUUCGCGAUUGUAUGAGUCUGAAGCAAUAAAAUGUGAUUUUCAAACUCAUGCUGAUGUAAACAAAACGAUCUUACUCGCACUGUUUGACAGAUCAGCGCGAUCCCGAUAUACACAUAUACACAGAAUUACAGUAUUUCAAAAAAUCUGUCUUGGCGAGUAUUCACGCAAACAUUAUCUGUUAUGUCUUAAGUGAACGUUUGGUUAACUGUUGGGAAAAAACAUCUGAUGUGUAACAUUAUAUUAGAUCAUAAUACAAUAUAUGUGUGGUACAGUAGGUCUUAAUAUAUAGGCUGUCUGUUUCAUUAAUGUUAAUCAAACAAUUGUGGAAUCAUGGAAAAAAGUUGAAUAUAUAUAUUUUUUUCCUAUAGAUAUGGGUUUUGACUUGGUUUGUGCCAAAUUUGGUGUUAUGACCAGGAGUUUUAAGACAUGGUUGCUAGGUGAUUUUAUUUUGGAACCUUCAGAAAACUCGAUUUUCAUAUCGAGAUCAUAAAUUCAGUUUAAAACUGAAUUAUAUAAUUAAAUAAUACAACUUUUGUGGCUUAAACUGUAAACAUUUUAACAGUAAUUUUAGCAGAUAUUAAUCUUCAGCAGGGGUCAAAUAGGGUGAAAUUGGAGUUUUGUGGCUUUUAGGUUGACAAAUCUUUUUAAAAAUAAAUAUUUUCUUUACAUAACCAUUCAAAAGAUUUGGGGUUGGUAUGUUUUAUUGCUGUUUUCUUGCUGUUCACAAAGGCAACAUUUAUUUACUCAAAGCUACAGCAAAAACAGUAAUGUUGUUAAAUAUUAUUACAACAGACCCUUUUCACAGACUGUGAUGACGCAUUUUAACGGUCAUCUAUAUUGUAAAUCCUGCAAAGUUUUUUUAUAUUUUCAUUUUUUUUUUUUAAAAUAUGUACAUUUAUAACACUAUAUUUAGUAUGAUAUUACCUUUGCAUCAAAUUACAAAAAAAAUAGUUAACACUGCUGCAGCGGCUAUGGGAGUGACGGAAAAAUUACAUCUUUCUCUCUUCUGACUGCCGUUAUCAAUCACUCUCUAUUUUUUCCAUCUUUUUGAUAGUUGUGAAAACACUAUUGUGGAGUUUUUCUUUUGCUAUUUGUGCAAAUGGAAAGACAAAAAAUAUAUUCAAUAUAGUCUCUAAUUCACCACUAUAAAAGUUUACCCAACUAUGGUGACUUCCACUUCUGAGAAACACAGAAAUGUGAAAAGGGUCUAUUUAAAAUAGCCGUUUUCUAUUUAAAUAUAUUUUAAAAUGUCAUUUCCUCCUGUUAUGGCAGAGCUGAUUUUUCAGCAGCAUAUUUUAGCAGCGAAGAAUAUUUUAGCCUUUUUCGCUCACACAUACAUGUGCACACAGGAAACGCAACAGGAAUUCUUUUAAUUUAAAUGCAUAUUAAACACGCACAGAGGAACUGACCCGUGAAUGUGAAUCAGCCAUGUUUGUCAGACUUUUCAAUCAGAACAGCACCGACUUAAUAAAUCAUCAGACUAGAAAAACAAAUCCUGCAUAACUAGAGGGAUGAACCUGCCGUCUGCCGCAGAUGGUGAACAGACUCACACAUCUUUAUAUUCAUUAUAAAUGAGACCAUGGUUAUGAUCAACAGUAACGCCCAAAGAGCAUCUCAUCCCUCCUGAACAGAGCGUGGCAGUUUCGUGUUCAAUAGUAUAACAGGAUCAAGAAGCCAUGAGCGGCUGAAAUCGCAGGGCUUAGCAGUAAGGGGAGGAAACCUUAUUACCACAAAACCUAGUGGAUACACAGAUAAGAUGCUGCUGGGACUCUCUGCCAACUCAGUUCCUUAUUAGACAUGGCGGUCAGUGCUGAAAUGGCAUCUGACCCUGACCAAAGCCCAGAUGCCAGUGUGUGGCCAUCCUCCAGUGCACAGCAGGUCAAAGUCAUCAGGUCUGGGAAACGGCGCUAAUGUGGAGCUGAAGAGGAAGAUUGCACCUUGACCUUGAAAUCUGAUGCAUCCGAAAAAAGUACUCUUCAGGGCCAGCGGGGGUUUAUGAAGAGUGAGGUACGCUGGGAUUCAGAUCACAGGCCCCAUGGCUUCCACAUCAAAGUGAAGCCUUUGGUCUACACACACGUAAGCUAGUGGUUCUGCGUUCCCUAAUUCUCUGUCUGAUUCUGUCUGUGUGAUGUGGCACCCUGAGGACUCGACCGCUGAAUAGGACCACAGGGGCCCCUGCAGUCACUGCUGGUCCAACCCAACUGUGUCGAGUGGUGAUACUCACCUACUCCUAAUGACUGCAUAUUACUGUCUAAAAACAGCUCUAUCGUAACUAAUUAGACAGACCACAUGUCUCUUUUUAGCUCAGGUUGGGUGGAAAAUUGGGUGGCUGUGUUCUGUUUAAGUGGUACAGUACUGUACUUAAUUUGAUAUCGUACAUUAUCACUAAAGAAAUGUCUUAGAAAGUCUCUGCAAACUACAGAUAAUGGUAUGAACAAGAUCUUAUAUUACAGAAUGAGCAAUUUUAUAAUCAUGGUAAUAUAAUUAUUUUGCUGGAAUGCAACAAAAGUGGUCUAUAUUUUAAAAUACUUUAAAAUAUGAAAGUACUUCAUCUCAUUUAAUUAUUGUCGCUUUUUAUUUUGAACUUAAUCAAGCUAAAAGGUAUGACAGCUCCACCUCUAAAUUCUCAUUGGAUGAGCCACAUUCAAAGCUGUAUUUUUAUAUCCCUCUCUGUAUUUUUACUGCAGUGGUUCUCAAACUUUUUUAGUCACGCCCCAAUAAACAAAAAACGUAAAUAUUUCAGUGAUGUUUUGGAUGAACAAUAUAUAAUCAGUGGCUGCAGUGCGCUCUUUUGACAACGCCUCAUGAGCUCAGCUUCUUGUAGCCUACUUCUUCUCGCUACAACACGGCAACGGAGCGGCAUGUUCACCAUAGCAGCUUGUGAUGCUGUCCACUGAAGAGGUGCUUUUCUAUGGCGAGCAACUUCUAUGUUGGGCUUUUUCAGAUGGUGACAACGGUCUGAAGAAGAACGAUUCAGUGGAAUUGGUGUUCGGUGCUGUUUAUAGAGCACCAACCGCUAUUCGCACACUUGAACGCUAUUGCGACGGCUGUUUUCUUUUAUUUCUGCUGAUCUCCCGCGCCCCCCAGCAGUACCUAUGUGCCCCCCCAGGAGGUGUGCUUUGAUAACCACUGUUUUGCUGUAUGUGUUUGUGUCACUUUUAUAUGUAAAAAUGACAUGAGGCUGAAGCGGUCCACUUACAGUCCUGCAAAUAUAUCUAUUGUAAUAUGAACGGUAAGGCAAAAUUACCCAGCUCUACUACAGAUUUAAUCAAACAAUGAAUUUGAAAGAUUAAUGAUUGCUAAAUUACAAUGAUAAAUGAUCUGACGCAUUAUAUCAACGUAAUUCUAGGAGUGACGCUCAGUUCGGUCCAGUUGCUGUAUAUCAUUUCUUAUCUCUUCAGAUAAAAGUGUAAUGUAGCAUCUAGCAAACGUAAGUCAUCUGUGUUCCCUCAGAAGGGUUUGUUUCCCUUGCCUUAUUUAGCUGUGUGGUGUUUUCUGGCAUUCUCCUAUCAUAAACAGCCACUCUUGUGUGAACUGAGUGAUCUUCAUUUUCCCAGGCUGUUUUCAUAUCUAAAGCCUGCUAAUUCAUCCACUCUCAUGCUUCAUGAGAGAAAAAAAAGAAAGAAAAUUCUCUUAUGAGAGAAUAGAAGUCAGACAUGAUGUUACAUAGGGUUAAUUGUAAUUGUGCCACAUCAAGAAAAUUGGGCAACAGUACAGAUAGUAAACCAUACAGAUCUUUUUUAUUUUGGUGCAAUGUUGCAACUAAAGGCUGUUUCUGAGACUAUGACCAGAUCUGAUAUAAACGACUACAAUAUAAACAGCUCAACUGUAAAAUCAAGUUAUUGUAUGUUUGUAGUUGAGCAUGUUGUAAAAUGCUGGGACAAAACCAUAGAGAGAAUAAGAACAUGAGUAAUUAGCAGUCGGUUUUACAGAAGUAUUCAAUGAGAACAUGUUUUUACUCAUGGAAAAAAAUAGUAAAGACUGCACAUCACGUGCUGACACAUCAAUGAUCUGAAAUGUUUCGGAAAUUACUCAACAUAUGCAAAAACAUGACUGUUUUACAUGCAAGGGUAAAUCUGACAAACAAAGCAUUUAAUUAACAUAUUACAUGUUAGAGCUAUGAACUUAUGCAUCAAAAUUGAGUAGUAUUGCUACUGUGAGCCAUGAGAGUUUGAAUCUUGCUUGCAACCUUAGACCAAGGCACUUACACACCUGGCAUUGAAUACUAUGGAUAUUGUUUCCUCUAUUGUGAGUCAAUAAAUGCAUAAAUCUAAA